GGGAAGUAGCUUGCUACUUUUGCCGGCGAGCGGCGGUCGGGUGAGUAAUGCCUGGGAAAUUGCCCAGUCGAGGGGGAUAACAGUUGGAAACGACUGCUAAUACCGCAUACGCCCUACGGGGGAAAGCAGGGGACCUUCGGGCCUUGCGCGAUUGGAUAUGCCCAGGUGGGAUUAGCUAGUUGGUGAGGUAAUGGCUCACCAAGGCGACGAUCCCUAGCUGGUCUGAGAGGAUGAUCAGCCACACUGGAACUGAGACACGGUCCAGACUCCUACGGGAGGCAGCAGUGGGGAAUAUUGCACAAUGGGGGAAACCCUGAUGCAGCCAUGCCGCGUGUGUGAAGAAGGCCUUCGGGUUGUAAAGCACUUUCAGCGAGGAGGAAAGGUUGAUGCCUAAUACGUAUCAACUGUGACGUUACUCGCAGAAGAAGCACCGGCUAACUCCGUGCCAGCAGCCGCGGUAAUACGGAGGGUACAAGCGUUAAUCGGAAUUACUGGGCGUAAAGCGCACGCAGGCGGUUGGAUAAGUUAGAUGUGAAAGCCCCGGGCUCAACCUGGGAAUUGCAUUUAAAACUGUCCAGCUAGAGUCUUGUAGAGGGGGGUAGAAUUCCAGGUGUAGCGGUGAAAUGCGUAGAGAUCUGGAGGAAUACCGGUGGCGAAGGCGGCCCCCUGGACAAAGACUGACGCUCAGGUGCGAAAGCGUGGGGAG
rnacentral:rRNA from 1 species